rnacentral:rRNA from 1 species
GUGAGGAAUUUUGCGCAAUGGGGGAAACCCUGACGCAGCAACGCCGCGUGGGUGACGAAGGCCUUCGGGUCGUAAAGCCCUGUCAGGUAGGAAAAAAGCCCUAUAGUUAAGAGCUGUAGGGUUUGAUGGUACUACCAGAGGAAGCACCGGCUAACUCCGUGCCAGCAGCCGCGGUAAUACGGAGGGUGCGAGCGUUGUUCGGAAUUACUGGGCGUAAAGAGCGUGUAGGCGGUUUGGCAAGUCAGAUGUGAAAGCCCUUGGCUCAACCGAGGAAGUGCAUUUGAGACUGCUAUUCUAGAGUAUGGGAGAGGAGAGUGGAAUUCCCGGUGUAGAGGUGAAAUUCGUAGAUAUCGGGAGGAACACCCGUGGCGAAGGCGACUCUCUGGACCAAUACUGACGCUGAGACGCGAAAGCGUGGGGAGCAAACAGGAUUAGAAACCCUAGUAGUCC